ensembl:misc_RNA 7SK 7SK RNA
GGAUGUGAGGGCAAUCUGGCUGCAACAUCUGUCACCCCACUGAUCGCCACGCCAAGGUUGAUUCGGCUGAUCUGGUUGGCUAGGCGGGUGUCCCCUUCCUCCCUCACCGCUCCAUAAGCAUCCCCCCUGAACCUGUGCGCUUGGUUCAAGAUGAUGGCCUUCUCUGAAUAGAUAUGGAUUGGUCUUCACUUGAGGGUGUACAGAUAGCUGCGCUUCCCUGCUAGAACCUCCAGAUAAGCUCUCAAGGACUGCAUUCUCUCUCCACAUGACCUUGCCUACUGAAGGAUGCAAAUCUGAUAAAUAUAGCCACAGCCAUGCACAUCUGAAAAACUAAGAGUGUGUUUU